rnacentral:tRNA from 1 species
GGCCGGUUAGCUCAGUUGGUUAGAGCGUCUGGUUGAUAAUGCUAAUUUUGUGGGAUCGAUUCCCAUAGUGGCCA